AAAAAAAAAAAAAGCAAAAAACAAAUCUCAAAUUUUCCUGAGCUCCCUCACAAGGAUGUCAGUGAUUUUUAUAACCUUCACUCAAAUCCUCUUGUAUCUUUGUUUAAUCAGGAUUAACACAAAUUUGUCCAAUCUCAGAAAUGCCUGAGAAUUACAAUAUGGAUAUUUCUGAAAGCAUCAUUUACCAUACAAAAGAGACUAAGUCUUGCUAGUGAGGGAAAAUAAUUAUAUCAAGUGAUCUUGUUGCAUGUCUGUUUUUAUGCAUACUUAUAUGCAUGAAUUUAGAAAUAAAUCAUUUUGUAUACAUUACCUCAUUCAAUCUUCACAACAAUGCCAUGCAAUAAAUAUGAGAGAUACAAUUACCCCAAUUUUUACGCAUGAAAGAACAGAGGAAGAAGAGAAAUCAAUAGAGAUGACUGGGAGUGGAUGAUCACUCAUUCAUUUAUCCAUUUUUUCAACAACCAUUUGUAAAUAAUUAUAUGUGUCACAUUAUAGAAAGAUACAGCCACAAAAACAUUCUUCUUAAAGCCUAUACCUUAAUGGUGGUAGCUUCCAGUUAAAAAUAUAAAUGUUUUGAUAUAGACAUCUGUGUUCAAAGAGUAUACAGCCCUACUUUAAAGGUUGGGGAAUAUCUCCUUGGGGAACUCACAUUUCAGCUGAGACAAGGAAUAAGUAGAGUUAGCCAAAUGAAGAGAAAGUGGGAUGGGUAUCCUAGGAGAAGGAGUAGCAUGUCCCAAGGACCAGAGAUGAAUAAGGACAAACAGCAAUUAUCAAGAAACCAAAGAAUGUUAGCACGAGGAGUGUAAAGUACAAGGUAGAAGAUGGCAAGACAUGAGUCUAGAGAGUUAGACAAAUGACCAAAACUAUAAAGGAGCUUGUAAAUCAUUGUGAAUAGCUUGGAAUUUAUGUUAAUCCUACCAGAAAGGCAACUAGAGCAGCAUGAAAAACUAGAACAGUAAAAUAUUUUGAAGGUCACGGGCCAGGGAAAGUUUUAAGACUUUAAGAGUUAACCAAAUUAAUCCUUCAAAGAAGCCCAAAAAUAAGAAAACUGAGAAUACGUCAUUUGAGACAUCAUGGAUGACCUUAAAAUUUCCAUUUUGGUGGUAAAGGUUGAAUACAAACCCAUGAAUAACUGAAAGAUAAGGAAGUAUAAGCAAAGGGGUGUAGACGGUGGUUUGAAAAGCCUACCUCACCUAUUGCUGGAGUUGGUAGCAGGGUCAAAUAAAAAUUUUUCAAGAUCAAAAAAUCUAAACAUGUUUGAAGAUACAGAAGAAGAAUGGACUAUAAAGGCAGAAAUUUAAAUUGUCGCAAAGUCAUCAAAGACUAAGAAAGUGGGAUGCAUAGGAAAUGUUAGAACUAAAUGCUGAGUUGAGCACAAAGCCUCAGAGAAAGAUCUGUAUGAAUAUUUUUAAAGCCCAAGUACCAAAGUUAAUCCUAUUCAGUGUCUCCUCCCUGACUGCUUAAUCUAUAAUAACAUUCCUGAAAAGCUUUAUCCUUUUAUCACUUGGUUUUUCCCUAGUGGGACGUUUUCAUGUUGGAGCCAUGAUUAGACUUUAAGUUCCCAAGUUUAUCAAUCACAGGGCAAUAUCUAGAGUUACAGUUACCUCUAUGACAGACACUUUUAUAGGAACAAAACAAAUCUAGGCUACCUAUCAACAUAUCAAACUUAUAAAGAUCGUAAUUCUCUUUUUCAGAUGAGAAACUGAAGUUCUAAAACAUGAUCUUUGCUGCUUGCCAUAGAGAAUUUCUAAUCAAGUCACUGUUCUAUACUCUAUCUAAAGUUAGAUUUUAUAGUCCCAAAGUUGGAAAGAUAUGGCUGAAACUUUCUAAAAUUAGUCAGUGUUCCAGAAGAUGAAAGGUAUAUAAGUGAGUUGUUAAGUUACAUAUUCUUGGGAUAUAAAAAGACAACUGCUAUGGUCUGAAUGUGUGCUCCAAAAUUCAUGUAUUAGAAACUCAAUUCUCAGUACAAUAGUGUUGAGAGGUGGGGCCUUUUGGAGAUGCAUAGUUCAUGAGGGUUCUGCUCUCAUGCAUGGAUCAAUACCACUAUAAAAAGGGCUUACAAGACUAGGCACAAUGGCUCACAUCUCUAAUCCCAGCACUUUGGGAGGCCAAGGCAGUAAGAUCACUUGAGACCAGGAGUUCAAGACCAGGCUGGUCAAUACAGCUAGACCCCAUCUCUAUUUUUUAAAAAGAAAGAAAGAAAGAAAGAAAAAAGACUUACAGUGAUGAGUGUACUCUCUUUUGCCAGUGAGGAUGUAGCAAGAAGACCCACAACAGAUGCCAGCACCUUGAUCUUGGACUUUCCAGAUCCCAAGACUGUGAGAAAUAAAUUUCUGUUCUUUAUAAGGUACCCAGUCUGUAAUAUUCUGUCACAGCAGCACAAAUGGACUAAGACAUAAAUUGGUACCAGGAGCAUAAAUGAAUUAAGACAGUAAUUAUUUGCCACAACAAAUACCUACAAACAGGGAAACAGCUUUGGAACUGAGUAAUGGGUAAAGGCUAGAACAGUUUUGAAAUAAAUACUGGAAAGAGUCUGUAUUGUAAGUGGAGCAGCAUUAACAGCAGUUCUGGUGAGGGCUCAGAAGAAAAGAGUUGUAGGGAAAGUCUGAAUCUUCUCAGAGCUUGCCUAACUGGUCAUGAACAAUGUUGGACAGUAAAAGUUAUUCUCAUAAAGUCUGAGAACAAAAUCAGGACUAUCUUAUUGGAAACUAGGGAAAAAGUCAUCUUUGUUAUAAAGUGGCAAAAAACUUGACUGAAUUAUGUCUAUGUCCUAGGACUUUAUGGAUGUCAGAACUUUAGAGCAAUGAACACAAAGCUGUGUUCAUCAAACCCAUGAAGACACAGUGGCCUGAGAUCUUGGGGACCCAAUCCCCACACCAGCAUGUCCAAGAGAUCAACCACCUCACCCAACACUGUAACUCGCUUCCUGGCCUAUUGACUCAGAGGCAUGAGAAAACCAAAGUGACCAGAAGUUUCAUGCGGGGAAGGCAAAUCCAUAUCCAGAGUACAUGUCUCUUCCAGUAAGAAAAAAAUGCUGUCCCCUCCAUGAAGAAGCAGUCCAAUGUAAUCAACCUGCUACCAGGUAAUUAGCUGAUCAUCCAAGGGGAAUAGUACUGUAUCAAGGGUUCAGUGUUGGUCUCUGCUGCUGGCAUAUUGGGCAUUCAGUUGUGGCUGUAGCCAAAUCAGCCUUAGUGAGUGGAAGUCCAUGUUGCUGAGUCCAUGCACAGCCUCCAUCCCUGCCACCACAGCCACUUUGUUUCCAACCCAUUGGGUGAUCACAAAGGUGGCUGAAGAAAGAGAUUGACUGGUAUCUACAGAAAAGGUCAUCCUAUCCACCUGAUUAUUAAAUUCCUCCUCUGUGGAUGUCACCCUUUGAUGAGCAAUCACAAAGGACAGAAAUGAUUCAUUGCCCAUUUAGAGAGGUCUAUCCACAUACCCUUCCCCCAGUUUCUUUGUCACCAAUUUUCCAACCACAUUUCUUUCAAGUCCCUGACUAUCCAGCCAAACCAUGGGCUACUUUCCACGAAUACAUAUAUAAUCUCACAUCUGGCCAUUUCUACACCCAACCAAAGUGAAUAACCAGGUGGAAGAAUUUUUCUUCACCACUGUUCUCCAGGGCAAUGUCCCAGAGAGGGGUAUGCAGCUGUCCACUUUCAGGCAGUGCCUGCAUAUCAUGCAGAACCAUUUGUAAAUAAGGACCUACUCUUUGCUUUCCCAGUCAACUAAAACACCCUCACAGAGACACACAGAGAUAAUGUCUUACUAGGCCAUCUGGGACUCCCUUAGCCCAGUCAAGCUGACACAUCAAGUUAACUAUCACACCAUAUUUUAUUUCUGCUCUUCUCUGCAUAUCACUUUUAUCUUUAUGUCCUACCCAGACUGGCUUUAACUGCAUCUCGCUCAAUUUACAGGGAGAAGAUGGGCUUCCCCAUAGCCCCCAAAUGUUUAUCUUCUCCAGCCGAGAGACCAUCUCAGAAUAGUCAGAAUAGUUAAUCCUGGAAAAAUCACCUCUAACUAAGAGUAGGCUCACAUGGUGAAAAUGAGACUGCUGAGUUCCAGCUUUAUAGAUAAGCAAGUCCAAUAAGGAAAUCAUUACAAGCUUAACAGAAAUCCCAAUACUUUCUGUCAUUUCUAUCAUAAUCAUUAAAUUCCGAUAAUUCUAUGUCACACAUUCUUUUU